rnacentral:rRNA from 1 species
CAAACGACUCUCGGCAACGGAUAUCUCGGCUCAYGCAUCGAUGAAGAACGUAGCAAAAUGCGAUACUUGGUGUGAAUUGCAGAAUCCCGUGAACCAUCGAGUUUUUGAACGCAAGUUGCGCCCGAAGCCUUUUGGUUGAGGGCACGUCUGCCUGGGCGUCACGC